GUUGGCCCGAGGUGGGGCGCGGCUGGCGGCUGCGCGGGGACAACCGCCGGGCCCGCGCGGAGCGGGGCCGCGAGUUUGUGAGGUGACCUCGCCCCGACCCAGCGGCUCCGGUCCCCCGCGAUGUCGAGACCAGAGCCGGGCAGCUCGCCUCUCUGAGCUGGUCCCAGCGCGGACGGCACGGAGGGAGGCCAUGGCGGAGUCCUCCGAGCCCGGGCUGCGGGCGUCAGCCGGCGGCGGGAGCUUGGAGGAGGAGGACGACGAGGAGCGGGAGCCGCUGCUGCCGCGGUUCGCCUGGGCCCAGCCGCCUAAGGGCGCCCCCGGGAGCGCCGUCAGGCUCGUGGAGGCUGCCGGCGAGGAGGGCGCGGCCUCCCCUCGCGAGGCUGGAGACGAGGAACUGCUGCUCCCGUCCCGGGACGCGCCCAGCCGCUCCUCCUGGGGCGUGGGGGUCCUCCGGGGCUCGCCCACCCCCCCGAACCGGAAACCACCCCUGGGUGCAGCAUUGAAUACAUUCCUGGAUGAUCCUGAAUUUGCUGAUGUUAUAUUGAAAGCAGAGCAAGCAAUAGAAUUUGGAGUUUUUCCAGAAAGAAUCUCUCAAGGUUCAAGUGGAAGUUACUUUGUGAAGGAUCCUAAGAGGAAAAUUAUUGGUGUAUUUAAACCCAAAUCAGAAGAGCCUUAUGGCCAACUGAAUCCAAAAUGGACCAAAUAUGUUCAUAAGGUCUGCUGCCCUUGCUGCUUCGGUAGAGGCUGCCUGCUUCCUAAUCAGGGAUACCUUUCUGAAGCUGGUGCCUCCCUUGUGGAUGAAAAGCUGCAUCUGAAUAUUGUACCUAAAACAAAGGUGGUUUGGCUUGUCAGUGAGACAUUUAACUACAGUGCAAUUGACCGUGCAAAAUCUAGAGGCAAAAAGUAUGCUUUAGAGAAAGUGCCAAAAGUAGGUAGAAAAUUCCAUCGGAUAGGACUUCCCCCUAAGAUUGGUUCCUUUCAGUUAUUUGUUGAAGGUUACAAGGAGGCUGAAUAUUGGCUUAGGAAAUUUGAAGCUGACCCUUUGCCCGAGAAUAUUAGAAAACAAUUUCAGUCACAGUUUGAAAGAUUAGUUAUUUUGGAUUACAUCAUCAGAAAUACAGACAGGGGAAAUGACAAUUGGUUAAUCAAAUACGAAAAGCAACAGGGAAAGGAAGUUAAGGAAACGAAAUGGAUUGAUGAUAAAGAAUCACUUAUUAAAAUAGCUGCAAUUGAUAAUGGUCUGGCAUUUCCUUUUAAGCAUCCUGAUGAGUGGAGAGCAUAUCCAUUUCACUGGGCUUGGCUUCCUCAAGCAAAAGUUCCUUUUUCUGAAGAAAUAAGAAACUUGAUUCUACCAUAUAUUUCUGACAUGAACUUUGUGCAAGAUUUAUGUGAAGAUCUUCAUGAACUUUUUAAGACUGACAGAAGAUUUAACAAAGCUACUUUUGAAAGCCAGAUGUCUGUUAUGAGGGGUCAGAUCUUAAAUCUUACUCAGGCAUUGAAAGAUGGGAAGAGUCCUGUCCAGUUGGUACAAAUGCCUUGUGUGAUUGUGGAACGCAGUCAAGGUAGAAAUCAGGGCCGCAUUGUCCACCUCAGCAGUUCAUUCACCCAGACCGUCCACUGCAGGAAGCCAUUUUUCUCUUCCUGGUAGCAGAUGUAAGCGUAAAAGAAAAAAACAUUUGGCAUUAUUAUGUUGUUAGAACAUUACCGCAGGGCGAAUCUGCUGUUAAGAUCUCCAGUUGCCAAAACCUCAAAUAAUGACGUUGUCUUCACUCUUCUUACAUUAUAAAAGGCCUUCAAGGGUGAAACUGCUCUUGUGAACUUCAGUAGAGUGGUUAAUAGAAAAUCUGGUAAGAAUAAUGUUGCCUUAAUGUAAAAAGCCGCUAUUUUAGAACUUGAGUAAUUGCCCCUAAAGUGACCAUUGUUAGGGAAUGGAAAAUUAUAUCUUGGUUAAGUAACAGGUGACCAUUUUAUUUUCUGUGCUUCAGAAUAUUUUUGGUCAAUUAUUUUGUUAAAGUAAGGGGAAGAAUCUAAAGAUACUCUCCCUUUUUAGAAAAUGGAGGCACUCAGCUGAGACUGGAGAGGAAUAAUAUGAAAUUAAAGUAGAUCGCCAAUAUUUUGAAAUUCCACCAUAGCACUAAAAGUCCCUUUUGUUUCUGCCAUGGAAUCAAUUAUGUAGUCAAUUAGUACUUUAGAUUACUGAUCUUAGUCUGUGUAGUGCUUCAGUUAGUAUUAACUUCACUGAAAAGUAAACUAUACUUCAAAGUGCAUAUUGGAUUGCAUUUUGGGGUCCUAAGGCAUAAGUCCUUAAAAAUAACUGUAGUUAUUAUAGUAUUGUAGGGUAUUGAGGUUACCGAUGCUGAUAUAAUUACAGUCAACUGUAGAAUAUCAGCCCUUGCUAAAGGGGAACAUGACAGAGAUAACCAUAAAGUCAUUUAGAUUUGAUUUUGAAAAUCAGUAUGUCUGACAUGCUAGGAUUUUGUAGCACCGUGAACUCCCCGGAUGAUGUAACUUGAGACGAGCCCAGUAUGAAGAUGUGAUUCUGAAGAACCAGAAGCUUCAUCCUCUUCUUCGGGCCCCAAACAAGGAACACCACCACUCAGACUAAACUGGCAGUUUGUGCUCUGGGCCUUUUUUUUUUUUUUUUUUUUUUUUUUAGCUUUCUGUCUUGUGAUUUUCUUUUUUUUUUACUUAAGUAUUUUCGUGUAAAAGGUGUUUCCUGAGGGUUCGAUUAGGACGGAAGACAGAUGUGCAGACCCCCCCUUCCCUCACCUCCCUGUCUUGGGCUCCAUGGGUGUGGCAAGUGAGAACACCGCUGCCUUAACGAAAGUUCACUGGACACCUGUGUUCUCCUACCUCCAACCCCGGCCUUCCGUGAUCGUAACACUGAGAUCAUGGGAAAUUGACUGGAAAUUCAAAACUCAACUACUAUCUUGAGAUAAAUACUAGUAAUUCAAAUGUGCCUUUUGAAGAUGUGUUCUUAAAUAAGUUGUUAUGAUGUGGGUACUGCUUUCAUAAAACGGUUUUUUCAGUAUUUUGAGAAUUGCUAUAUUAAUUUUUAUAAUGGAAAAACUUAGUAAAUUCCUACUGUUUUAUAUCCUGAAUUUGUUAAAAUAGUGUGCAAAUAUUUUUAAAUGGCCUGACCAGGCUAGAAGAGUAAAGCUGAAAUAUUUAAGAUGUGAUCAUAAGUCAGAAUACAUUGGUUAUAUUUUGUAAAUUUUCAUGAACUUGACUCUUAUUUAAAUAUUGUGUUAAUUUUUUGAAUGAGUAUAUUUAUAGUGUCAAGCUUGGUAGACUAAAGGUAAUAAAAAUCAUUGUCUUAAGGUCACUGUUCUUCUGAAGUAUGUAUAUUGGAUAUUUAGAAUGUUUGUGAACACAUUUAUGUUUAUAAGUGAUGCUAAACCACCAUCCCCCUUGUGUAUUAGUGGUAUAGUUUAAUUCUUUAAAAUUCCAAAAGCCAUGUGUAACUGGAACCUUUAUAAUUGGAGACGAUUUAAUUUUGUUUAAUUAUAUACUUUCUUAUUCUCCCCCAAAUUUGCCAGCAAUUGGAGGCUGUGGAAAACCAGCGGAAGGUUUUUUGCAGACGUAAAAACAAUCAGAAUCACAAAGGUUUUUUUUAUUUAAAGUUUUGUACUGAUGGAAUUAAAACCUUAUUAAAAACA